UCUACGGGAGGCAGCAGUGAGGAAUAUUGGUCAAUGGGCGUAAGCCUGAACCAGCCAAGUCGCGUGAGGGAUGAAGGUUCUAUGGAUCGUAAACCUCUUUUAUAAGGGAAUAAAAUGUGGGACGUGUCCUAUUUUGUAUGUACCUUAUGAAUAAGGAUCGGCUAACUCCGUGCCAGCAGCCGCGGUAAUACGGAGGAUCCGAGCGUUAUCCGGAUUUAUUGGGUUUAAAGGGUGCGUAGGCGGCCUUUUACGUCAGCGGUGAAAGUUUGUGGCUCAACCAUAGAAUUGCCGUUGAUACUGGGGGGAUUGAGUAUGUUUGAGGUAGGCGGAAUGCGUGGUGUAGCGGUGAAAUGCUUAGAUAUCACGCAGAACCCCGAUUGCGAAGGCAGCUUGCCAAGCUAUGACUGACGUUGAUGCACGAAAGCGUGGGGAUCAAACAGGAUUAGAUACCCCGGUAGUC
rnacentral:rRNA from 1 species